rnacentral:lncRNA from 1 species
UAAUGAAUAAUUUUAGAAAAUUGUAAAUUUAGAAAAAUAAAAUAAAAUAUUACAUCAUUAAUCAGCAACACAAUCUCAUUUAUUUUCUCAUCUCUCUUAUCUUACUCUUUUAGUUCUUCUAUCUUCCCCUCCCUUUCCUCGAAACUUUGCAAUCCAUUUUUCUAAAAAGAGAACAAAGUCUUCGAAACUUUACAAUCCAUUCCUCGCUUCUUCAAACAAAUAGCAAAUUGAGGGGCACUCCUUUGGCUGGAAGUAAAUCUCUGAUUCUCCUUCUCAUUCACAGUACCAAACUUCAAUCGGUGGCCCUUAAUCGUCGAGUUCUUCCUAAUCUUCUUAUUAGCAGAUGAAAAAGAAGUAGAGCUGAAAAACCUAAAACACUAUGAUUAGCAUCAUUUACAACAUUAGGAGUGGGAAUCGAGUUCUGAAAAGGUUCUUAUUUGUCUUUGAAUGUUCAUCAUGAUGGUGAAGUAAGUACUUGGCUACGGAAUCAGUAGAUCUUGCUACUGCUGCUGCUAGUAGAAGUUGUCACAUACUUAUUCUUCUUAUUAUUAUUAUCCAAAAAGGUUGAAAGAGAGAGAGAAAAAAAAAGAGUUAUUAAUGAAUUUUUAGUAGAGGUUGAUGAUGAGCAUUGCCAUGAAGAUGAGGUUAGGUGGCGGAGAGUUGUGACUUCCAAACUUGGAUUUUGGUCUGAUUGCUAUAUACUUGGUUCUCACUUAUUUUCCAGUUUUUUAAUUUUUAUAUUUGAAAAUUCACUAUUUUAUUUUUGAAUUAAA